GGACUACACGGGUAUCUAAUCCUGUUUGCUACCCACGCUUUCGUGUCUCAGCGUCAGUUACGGUCCAGAAAGCCGUCUACACCACCGGUGUUCCUCCUGAUAUCUACGCAUUUCACCGCUACACCAGGAAUUCCACUUUCCUCUCCCGCACUCUAGUCAUUCAGUAUUCGGCGCACCCUCCCAGUUGAGCCGGGAGAUUUCACACCAAACUUAAACAACCGCCUACACACCCUUUACGCCCAGUAACUCCGAACAACGCUUGCUGCCUACGUAUUACCGCGGCUGCUGGCAC
rnacentral:rRNA from 1 species